AGCUAUUCAAUCUACGAAUAUGUCAGCAACACCUACAAAGUAUGCUCGUUAAUCGUUGGUCUGCAAAUGCAUAGGUUGGCAGUGCCUAUUGGCAGAUAUCGAGGACAUUUUUCCUGACUGUUGUUUUAGUGCAACAAAGCCACCAGCAACAUGUGGUUUCCAAGGUGCUUUUAUUUAUGACUGUGCUACUGUCCUUUAGUUGUCACUGAAGCACUCGAAUCAUUGCACUGUCGUUACUGCUACUGUCUGGUACGAUUGAAAAGCUUGUUGAAUUAUUCCAGUUGCUAAAAGCAAGUAUCGCAUCAGCAGCAUCAAACAUGCACUCCAUGAAGUACAAUGUUGGGAAACUGGUGUCUACAUUUAAAAAUGAAAUGUCUGAUUGGCUAGAAGUGCUGCAAUGAAAUUUCCAGCUUCUGGCUGAAUUCUAGCAUUAAAUUGAGACUGAGUAGGCAGAUGCAGGGAAGCCUGCCUUUAAAAUAGCAAGCUGAAAGUGCUAACUGUAAAUCCACUUUGGACCGAGCACUGCAAGAUGAACUGACGUGCGAUGCAGCGAAAAAAAUAAAUCCAGCCUUACUGCAGACUAACCAGUGGAAAUUCCCAUCAAAUUAAAUUCCCAAGAAACAGGAUAACGCACUGUGGUCAUAUAAAGGAUUCCUUUUGGAAUUAUCACUCUGACAGUUCUCUCCACUUAGGCUGUGGUUUAUACAGCAAUGUGCAUCGCAUACACCACAACUUUGUUCUCUCUUUUGAAAUAGAAGAAAAUUAUGCACAUAAAAGAUCUCAGAAUAACACAGCCACAAGAAUUUUGCUGUAUUAUAAUUCUGCCAGAAUGGACAAGAAUGCUACAUUGUAUUAAAACAAAAAUUGGCAGCAAGUCCAUUAUCUUUUAACGAUGUAGUGACACGAACACACAAGACUGCCAAGGCAGGGCGUUACGACACUUUUCGGUGCUACAGCUUACAAAGCCGUCACCAACAAGGUAAGCUGUUAGUUGGUGCUUAUCGACAGGCAGUGGCAGUGUCAUUGACAACAGCAAGGAUAUCCUGGGACACGUUUUACUAAAGAGUACAACAACAUGAGAAGGCAUGAAAGAACAGAAUAUUGCGAUUGCAUGGGAAAAGUAGAAGAAUCAACAGAUGUGAGGACAAGCUUGCAAGUUAGCAAAAAAAAAAAAAAAAGAUGCAUAGCAGGAG
rnacentral:lncRNA from 1 species